GGCCGAAUAUAACCUUGAGGACAAGGUUAUUUUGGAAGUGCUAGGGGAUGUUAAGUGUAGAAAAACACAAGCAGAAAAGGCAGCAGAAGCAGACAUAGAGCAACAAGCAGCAAGGAAGCAACAGGGGAAUGUAGAAACAAGCUACGAGACAAAGAAGGGAGAAGGACAAAGGCUAAAGAGGGAAAUUCACAAACCACAGUACCUCAGAGACUUUGUGAGCAAGUAGUGGAGCAGAGG
rnacentral:lncRNA from 1 species